rnacentral:rRNA from 1 species
AUUGAACGCUGGCGGCAGGCCUAACACAUGCAAGUCGAGCGAGCGGCGGACGGGUGAGUACUGUCUGGGAAACUGCCUGAUGGAGGGGGAUAACUACUGGAAACGGUAGCUAAUACCGCAUACCAUAGGAUGAGCCCAAGUGGGAUUAGGUAGUUGGUGGGGUAAUGGCCUCCCAGGCCGACGAUCUCUAGCUGGGCUGAGCGGAUGACCAGCAAAACCGGGACUGAGACACGGACCGGACGCCGACGGGAGGCAGCAGUGGGGAAUAUUGCGCAAUGGGGGCAACCCUGACGCAGCCAUGCCGCGUGAAUGAAGAAGGCCUUGGGGUUGUAAAGUUCUUUCGGUGACGAGGCGUUAAUCACAGAAGAAGCACCGGCUAACUCCGUGCCAGCAGCCGCGGUAAUAC